ensembl:miRNA gmo-mir-26a-1 gmo-mir-26a-1
UUCAAGUAAUCCAGGAUAGGCUGUUUUUGUCUGCUCCGGCCUGUCCAGGAAGACUUGCACU